rnacentral:rRNA from 1 species
UACAUGCAGUCGAGCGGACAGAAGGGAGCUUGCUCCCGGAUGUUAGCGGCGGACGGGUGAGUAACACGUGGGUAACCUGCCUGUAAGACUGGGAUAACUCCGGGAAACCGGAGCUAAUACCGGAUAGUUCCUUGAACCGCAUGGUUCAAGGAUGAAAGACGGUUUCGGCUGUCACUUACAGAUGGACCCGCGGCGCAUUAGCUAGUUGGUGAGGUAACGGCUCACCAAGGCGACGAUGCGUAGCCGACCUGAGAGGGUGAUCGGCCACACUGGGACUGAGACACGGCCCAGACUCCUACGGGAGGCAGCAGUAGGGAAUCUUCCGCAAUGGACGAAAGUCUGACGGAGCAACGCCGCGUGAGUGAUGAAGGUUUUCGGAUCGUAAAGCUCUGUUGUUAGGGAAGAACAAGUGCAAGAGUAACUGCUUGCACCUUGACGGUACCUAACCAGAAAGCCACGGCUAACUACGUGCCAGCAGCCGCGGUAAUACGUAGGUGGCAAGCGUUGUCCGGAAUUAUUGGGCGUAAAGGGCUCGCAGGCGGUUUCUUAAGUCUGAUGUGAAAGCCCCCGGCUCAACCGGGGAGGGUCAUUGGAAACUGGGAAACUUGAGUGCAGAAGAGGAGAGUGGAAUUCCACGUGUAGCGGUGAAAUGCGUAGAGAUGUGGAGGAACACCAGUGGCGAAGGCGACUCUCUGGUCUGUAACUGACGCUGAGGAGCGAAAGCGUGGGGAGCGAACAGGAUUAGAUACCCUGGUAGUCCACGCCGUAAACGAUGAGUGCUAAGUGUUAGGGGGUUUCCGCCCCUUAGUGCUGCAGCUAACGCAU